GCGAGCUGGGAGGUGUUCUGGCCUCUUUGAUGAACAAAGAGGCACUAUAGACACUGGACCCGAAGGCUCCAAAGGAUAUUCCUCCUCUAGCCAGCACGAUUCCUGGGAGAGCUUGC
rnacentral:lncRNA from 1 species